rnacentral:rRNA from 1 species
UACGGAGGAUCCAAGCGUUAUCCGGAUUUAUUGGGUUUAAAGGGUGCGUAGGCGGAAUUGUAAGUCAGUGGUGAAAGCCCUUCGCUUAACGAAGGAACUGCCAUUGAUACUGCAAAUCUUGAGUACAUUUGAUGUGGGCGGAAUGUGUCAUGUAGCGGUGAAAUGCUUAGGUAUGACACAGAACACCGAUUGCGAAGGCAGCUCUCAAAACUGUAACUGACGCUGAGGCACGAAAGCGUGGGUAUCAAACAGG